rnacentral:rRNA from 1 species
UACAGAGGGUGCAAGCGUUGUUCGGAAUUAUUGGGCGUAAAGAGCUUGUAGGCGGUCUGUUGCGUCCGCUGUGAAAACCCGGGGCUUAACCCCUGGCUUGCAGUGGAUACGGACAGACUAGAGGUAGGUAGGGGAGAAUGGAAUUCCCGGUGUAGCGGUGAAAUGCGCAGAUAUCGGGAGGAACACCGGUGGCGAAGGCGGUUCUCUGGGCCUUACCUGACGCUGAGGAGCGAAAGCGUGGGGAGCGAACAGG